GACGAACGCUGGCGGCGUGCUUAACACAUGCAAGUCGAGCGGUAAGGCCUUUCGGGGUACGACGAGCGGCGAACGGGUGAGUAACGACGUGGGUGACCUGCCUUUAGCUUCGGGAUAAGCCUGGGAAACCGGGUCUAAUACCGGAUAUGACUCCAUGACGCAUGUUGUGGGGUGGAGAGCCUUGUGCGGCUGAGGAUGGGCCCGCGGCCUAUCAGCUUGUUGGUGGGUGAUGGCC
rnacentral:rRNA from 1 species